GAGUGGCCAGUUGCCCGCCGCUGAGAAUGAAGCUCAGAGCAUUUGGGCUUAAGCCGGUUCAGCUCAGAGGUGGGUUUCGGAAGUCUGUGGCGGACCACCGCAGCAAGUCAUCACUCAGCGUACAAGCCUUUCCAUUUCUGAAAAUAUAAAGAACUUAAGCAUGCGGCGUUCGGAGUGUAGAUUGCUUUGAGGUAUUUCAAAGCAGCGCUGAUCAUGGGCAGAGGAGCUGAUAUGUGCAACAGAAACUACUCACUGGAACUCUUCUGGUAAAAAAGCCAGAAUUAUAAAAUGGAAAAAAGCAUCUUGAACAGAUGGUGAUGGCCUAACUGGAUGUCUGCAUGUACAAGAAUGUAAAUAGAGCCAUACCCAUCACCCUGCAUAAAACUGGAGUCCAAGUGGAUUAAAGACCUCAACGUAAAACCAGAUAC
ensembl:lincRNA